rnacentral:tRNA from 1 species
GGGGCUGUAGCUCAACCUGGGAGAGCACUAGUUCCUUUACGGGAAGUGAAACUGAAGUUCCCAGAUUAGACAUCUAGGUGUUCGGGGUUCAAAUCCCCGUAGCCCCA